UUGCCUCUCUACAAGGCUAAGAAGUUAAAGCAGCAGAGCUGGAUCAGUUGCUAAAUGCCAGGGCACCAUCCCUCCCUGAGCUGGCCACAAAAGAAUACUGGAUGGCAGUGGGAUGCCCAGGCCACAUUUCGCCCCUGGCCAGUAGGGAGGAAACCUGGGGCAAGGUGGGUCAGAGGAAGACGUAAAGGUCCUAGAUGCAACUGUAACAUCUUUUAUGAAGUCUUUUUCUUCCCCCCCUGGGAAAGCAGUUACUCAGACAAGGGGAAUGGCCUUUGGAUUGGCAAGGAUAAAACAAAAAUGGUUAAUGAGAAAUUGAAACCCAAGAAUAAGUACCUAGCUAACCCCAGUCAAUUCAAGUCCUCAGGCUCAGGUUAUUGAAAGAAGUGGCAGAUAUGACUUUUGGGCUGAAGCCAAUGGCCUUUGGAAGAUCAUGGAGAAUGGAACAAGUGCCACAGAAUUGGAGAAGAGAAGGGAAGGGAGAAUGAUGAAGAGGAUUUCAGAAAGCUGGAACUGAUGCAGAGUGAAAUAAGCAGAACCAGAAGAAUGUUGUACAGUGAAACAGCAAUAUUGUGGGAUGAUCAACUGUGAUACACUUAGCUACUCUCAGCAAUGAAAUGAUCCGGGACAACUCUGAAGGACUUAUGACAAAGAAUGCUAUCCACCUCCAGAGAAGGAACUGUUGGAAUCAGAAUGCAGAUAAAAGCACAUGAUUUUUCCUUGUUUUCUUGGUCUUAUGUUUUGGAGUUUUGGGUUUUGUAAGAUUAUUUGAUGACAAAAAUGAACAAUACAGAAAUAUGUUUUGAGUGAUAAUACAUGUAUAACCCAGAUUGAAUCUCCUGCCAGCACCAGGAAGGGGAAGGGAAGGGUGGAAGGGAGAUAAGUUCAGUCAUAUAACUUGGGAAAACUUCUGUGGAAAUUUGUUAUUACACAUGUAAUUGGUAAAAAAAUAAAAAAUAUUUUAAAAUUGG